UACGUAGGUGGCCAGCGUUGUCCGGAAUUAUUGGGCGUAAAGCGCGCGCAGGCGGUCCUUUAAGUCUGAUGUGAAAGCCCACGGCUCAACCGUGGAGGGUCAUUGGAAACUGGGGGACUUGAGUACAGAAGAGAAGAGUGGAAUUCCACGUGUAGCGGUGAAAUGCGUAGAGAUGUGGAGGAACACCAGUGGCGAAGGCGACUCUUUGGUCUGUAACUGACGCUGAGGCGCGAAAGCGUGGGGAGCAAACAGG
rnacentral:rRNA from 1 species